GGGCUCGUAGCUCAGCUUGGCAGAGCGUCUGGCUUUUAACCAGACGGCCAGGGGUUCAAAUCCCCUCGAGCCCG
rnacentral:tRNA from 1 species